rnacentral:misc_RNA from 1 species
UCACCCCUCGAGCCCUCUCGGCUCGGUGUUGGACGGUUUGGUUUUGGUGACAAAACCCCUCCUAAAGUUAAUGACGGCGGCCUGUGGAACCCCCGGUACACUGAGCUUCUUCACUAAGCAUGUAUCGGUCGUUAAAAGGGUAAACAGGACCCGGUCUUUCUUCCUGAAUGGGAAAAUGAAAUUUCUCAAAAAA